CCUACGGGAGGCAGCAGUGAGGAAUAUUGGUCAAUGGCCGGAAGCCUGAACCAGCCAUGCCGCGUGAAGGUCACUGCCCUAUGGGCGUUAAACUUCUUUUGUGCGGGAGCAAUAAUGGUCAAGUGUUGCCAUCCGAGAGUUCCGUACGAAUAAGCAUCGGCUAACACCGUGCCAGCAGCCGCGGUAAUACGGGGGAUGCAAGCGUUAUCCGGAUUUAUUGGGUUUUAAGGGUGCGUUGGCUGUGAGGUUAAUCAGCGGUGAAAUGCCCCCGCUCAACGGGGUGAAGUGCCAUUGAUACUGGCUUGCUGGAGUGCGGAUGCGGUGGGAGGAAGGUGUGGUGUAGCGGUGAAAUGCAUAGAUAUCACACAGAACACCGAUUGCGAAGGCAGCUCACGAAUCCGCGAUUGACGCUGAUGCACGAAAGCGUGGGGAUCAAACAGGAUUAGAUACCCCGGUAGUC
rnacentral:rRNA from 1 species